rnacentral:rRNA from 1 species
CCUACGGGAGGCAGCAGUGGGGAAUAUUGGACAAUGGGCGAAAGCCUGAUCCAGCCAUGCCGCGUGUGUGAAGAAGGCCUUCGGGUUGUAAAGCACUUUCAGUGGGGAAGAAAGCCUUGGGGCUAAUACCCUCGAGGAAGGACAUCACCCACAGAAGAAGCACCGGCUAACUCCGUGCCAGCAGCCGCGGUAAUACGGAGGGUGCGAGCGUUAAUCGGAAUUACUGGGCGUAAAGCGCGCGUAGGCGGUCUGAUAAGCCGGUUGUGAAAGCCCCGGGCUCAACCUGGGAACGGCAUCCGGAACUGUCAGGCUAGAGUGCAGGAGAGGAAGGUAGAAUUCCCGGUGUAGCAGUGAAAUGCGUAGAGAUCGGGAGGAAUACCAGUGGCGAAGGCGGCCUUCUGGACUGACACUGACGCUGAGGUGCGAAAGCGUGGGUAGCAAACAGGAUUAGAUACCCUAGUAGUC